GAAACUGUCCUGGCCAUUAUCUAUACAACUUAUUCUGGAGACUUUGCAUCAGUGCAGAUAGAAUGCCCUACCAGUGGAGAACCAACAAAACCCCCUCCCUCUACAAAACCCAUUCCUCCAACUCCUGUCUGUGGAGCUUCCAGCAUGAUGGUGGAGCUGCCUGAGGGACCUCUGCAGCAAGUGAAGAUAAGGAAUGACUCUAAUGGGCUAUGGGUAGCUGUCAAGGAUGUCCCAAAGAACUGCAACUACACACUGAUGAAGGAAAGAGGAAGAAACCUCUUCAUAACCUCCUACAAGGCCUGUCAUGUCUGGAUACUGGAUGGAAAUUGCAUCUUGACCUUGCUCUACACAACCACUGCUGGUAAACGAGGGUAUGUGCACAUGAGAUGUCCAACAAUGGCCCCUACAACCACUAAUACGAAGCUAACAAAGACUACCAGAACCAGUGCUGGGGAAUCAAACAGGAGAGCUAGAAGAAAUGCUGGGGAUGAAACCAAGACCAUGCGUUGUCUCUGCGGGGAUGCAACCAAGACGACGCGCAGGGGCUCUGGGGAUGCAACCAAGACCACACGAAGAGGCUCUGGGGAUGCCACCAGGAUGACACGCACUCCUGGGGAUGCAACCAGGACAACACUAAGAGGCUCUGGGGAUGCAACCAGGACGACGAGAAGAGGCUCUGGGGAUGCAACCAAGACGACGCGCACUCCUGGGAAUGCAACCAGGACAACACGAAGAGGCUCUGGGGAUGCAACUAGGACGACGCGCAGGGGCUCUGGGGAUGCAACCAGGACGACGCGUAGGGGCUCUGGGGAUGCAACCAGGACGACGCGCAGGGACUCUGGGGAUGCAACCAGGACGACGCUCUGGGGAUGCAACCAAGACGACGCGCACUCCUGGGAAUGCAACCAGGACGACACGAAGAGGCUCUGGGGAUGCAACCAGGACGACACGCAGGGGCUCUGGGGAUGCAACCAGGACGACGCGAAGAGGCUCUGGGGAUGCAACCAGGACGACACGCACUCCUGGGAAUGCAACCAGGACAACACGAAGAGGCUCUGGGGAUGCAACCAGGACGACGAGAAGAGGCUCUGGGGAUGCAACCAGGACGACGAGAAGAGGCUCUGGGGAUGCAACCAGGACGACGAGAAGAGGCUCUGGGGAUGCAACCAGGACGACGCGCAGGGGCUCUGGGGAUGCAACCAAGACGACGAGAAGAGGCUCUGGGGAUGCAACCAGGAUGACACGCACUCCUGGGGAUGCAACCAGGACAACACGAAGGGGCUCUGGGGAUGCAACCAGGACGAUAAGAAGAGGCUCUGGGGAUGCAACCAGGACGACGAGAAGAGGCUCUGGGGAUGCAACCAGGACAACGAGAAGAGGCUCUGGGGAUGCAACCAGGACGACGAGAAAAGGCUCUGGGGAUGCAACCAGGACGAUGAAGAGGCUCUGGGGAUGCAACCAGGACGACGAGAACCAUCACUAGGAAGCCAACUCAGAAGACUGAAACCAGUGCUGCGGAGGUAACAAAGGCCCCUACAUCUGUUGUCUGCAGAGAUUCUAGUAUGGUGUUGGAGCUGCCUAAGGAACCUCUAAAACGUGUCCUGUUUCUAGAUAAAUCCAACCAGUGGGUAGCUGUCAUUGAUGCUCCUGAGUACUGCAACUACACCUUGUCUCAGGGAAUCGGAAGGAACUUCUUCAUAACACCCUACACAGCCUGUGAUGUCAGGAUACUG